GAUAAACGCUGGCGGCGUGCAUAACACAUGCAAGUCGAACGAAGUGGCGAACGGGUGAAUAACACGUGAGAAACCUGCCUUACACAAGGGGAUAGCCUGUGGAAACGAAGAAUAAUACCCUAUAGUGUACGAUGGACUUGCGUCUGAUUAGCUAGUUGGUGAGAUAAAGGCCCACCAAGGCAACGAUCAGUAGCCGGCUUGGGGGAGUGUACGGCCACAUUGGGGCUGAGACCAGGCCCAAACUCUACGGGAGGAAGCAGUGGGGAAUGUUGCACAAUGGGGGAAACCCUGAGGUAGCGACUCCGCGUGAUUUAGAAGGCCUUCAGGUUGUAAAAAUCUUUUUUAUGGGAGGCAGUACCAUAAGAAUAAGGUCCGGCUAACUACGUGCCAGCCGCCGCGGUAAUUC
rnacentral:rRNA from 1 species